rnacentral:lncRNA from 1 species
GUCCCCUGACCUGCUAGUCCAUGACAGGAUCUGCAGAUCCUACCCCAACAGGUCAAUAUUGCAGACUUUGCAGACCAUAGAGCCUUUGACAGGGUCUCUUGUGGCCCCAGACUCCUCAAACUUAUUUUGUAACAGGAUGACCUUGACAUUUAGAAAUGAGUUAAACAGCUCAAACAAUGGACUGAUGUAAAGGCUCCGAGAGCACACGGGAUCAGUGGAGGAGAGCAGGGACCCGAUGAGACUGGAUGAGAAGAGAGGGCGAGGAUCAGACCCAAGGGAUAGUUUCUGUGCCAGAGAAAAGGCAUUUAACUUAUCACUGUGUUUGCAGUAUUUUGCACUGAGAAUGACUCUGUAGUAGACACCCAGAAAACCUGCAAACUUUAAUUUAAAUCGAAACCGAAUGGCUCAAGAGGAAUUAUAGAGUAUUCUGCUCGCAGGAAAUGCUUCAGAAGUGGGGAAGUGUGAAUUAAGUAGCAGAACACAGCUAAGACCAGAGAGCUUAUGAGUUGAGUUUCCCUUGGCAACUUUUCUCUCUUGACAAGCAGAUUACCGAUGUGUGUAUUUUGUCUACUUUGACCUGGUGUGUGGAGAAAUUCAUCAAGACUCAUCUCUGUUGGGGUUAGUCUGGUGCCGCCAUUGGUGUUGGUGUGCACGACAAAAGCUGGUGUACAUGAGAAUUGGCUCUUCUUGGGACAAACAGAUCUUGGGGUACAGAAUUUAGCUUUUAAUACCAACUCAGACCAACUGAACAUCUGUACUCAAAGAGCUCACAGUCUGUUGAUGACAAAACAGGUAUUAUAGGUGGAGUCCCUGAGCAGCACACCGAAGGGACAGUCUAAAUAUCGGCAACUGCUUUCCCCGUCUCAGCCAUCUUGAGAUACCACCACAGUUGUGGCAUCAACUCUCCAGCCUCUGUAAGCAGUUCAGCGGUGAUGGCACUUCAGUCAAAGCUGCCUGCAGAUGGUAAGGUCUUCUUAUCCUAAUCCAUGGACCCAAUACAGGGAAAAGGAUGGGGAUAAAAAGCCACCAAUCCCUGUGCUCCAGGACUUGAAAUCCCACCAAUCGUUACUCUGGAAAUCUCUGCCCUGAAAAGUCCCGCCCCCAAAUAAAUCCUAUAUAAGCCCUGCCCUUUGUUCACUUGCUUGCUGGUCACUUCCAGGAGCAGAGACAGCCACUUCGGCAUUCGUCCUUCUGUACCCUGAACCCUCCCAAUAACUUUCUUUUAUGAGAUUUAGUGCCUGGUGUGACUUUCUCAUUGGAAGAAGCCAAGGAGAAAAGAAGCAAUGAAGAGAAAAAGCGAAGAAGAAUCAGGGCUGAGGCUCCCGAGCUGCACCACCUCUGCUGAGGAGGCUUCCUCUCAGAGCUGUGUGGUUCCUGAGUUUUCUGAAUCCCAGGAUACCCAUCCAUCUGAGCAGGAACAUUUUCAGUGCGUACAACAGUAUAGAGAUCGGAGUAGCUAGUAAAUGCACAACAGAAAAGGUGACAUUUGAAUGCAUAUAAGUGCAGGAUUCACUAGGGCAAGCAACUGCAGAGAAAACCAGCCUGCUGUAAAACCUGGUGUGAUUAUGUGAGAAACAGCCUAGUGACUUACAUCUGUAAUCUCAGCGGUCACGAGUCUGAGACUGAAAGGCUGCCUUGGGUUUAGGGGCCAGCCUGUGCUACCUAGUGAUUUCCAGGACAUUCAAAGGGAGAUUCUAUUCUAAAAAUUAAAGUUAUGGGGGGAAAAAAAAAGAAGACACAAAUUCCAGGACAUUUGUGGUUCAACGAGUACUGAAAUACUUCCUGGGCCCAUGCUCUUAAAAAACCUCUCUGGACCAAGUUUGAGGCCAGCCUGGUCUAGUGUUUUAGGACCAUCAGGGAUACAGAGAGAAACCCUGUUAGAACCUCUGUUCCCCACGCCCCCCAAAAAACCAAAACUAUAAACUUCUUUGGGCUUUUAUUGUCAUUAAAUGGGAUGGGAAGCGGCUGUAGGAGAGAGCGAGAUCCACCAGGCUUCUGGGUCCCCUGAGGUCACACUAUAAAAACAAGAACUCUUCUCCAUUUUGCGUUGCAUUUUCUGGAUUCCGGGUGAUCAUUACGUGCUUUCCUUUAUCCGGGCCUCUCAACAACUCUGUGAGGUACAAAUUAUGAACCUCACUCUAUACACAAAUGAUCUGCUCAAGGUCAAGAAAGCGGG